GGGUCAGUAGGUUGGUCGUGCCACCGGUACGUACUGGUCUCACUGAUUCCUCCUUCCUGAAGAACCGUAAUGCCAUUAAUUUGGUGUUGCGGGGAAACAGGACUGUUACUUUGAAAAUAUUAGAGUGUUUAAAGCAAGCUAACGCUUGAAUUAAUUAGCAUGGAAUAAUGAAAUAGGACGAUCGAUCCUAUUUUGUUGGUUUCUAGGAUUGACGUA
rnacentral:rRNA from 1 species